AAAUGCAAUAUAAUUGAUAGAGCUAUAGCUUUGAAACAACUUAUAAAUCAUUGGCCAGCAUAUUAGAGCAAGUUAGCUUAAUAUCGGAAUUUCAAACCAUGUCCUCAUUUAUAAUACCAGAUACUUUUCAAUUGCAGAUUUAGUACCUCAAGACAGACACUUAUGUGGAUUCCAGAUUCUUUUUUUUCCAGUUUGCUGAGUGGAAGAAUUUCAAGCCUUCGAGAUGAAACUGGUGCUAUAUUUAUUGACAGAGAUCCAGCAGCGUUUGCACCCAUUUUAAAUUUUCUUCGAACAAAAGAACUAGACUUAAGGUAAGAAGUGCAUCCUUUUAAAUGAAUUCUUAUUGAUAGAUGUGCUUUUGGUAUAGUUUAUGAAGGAACAAAAAAGUUAAGGACUACUUUGCUAGAAAGUUUCCUCAGAAUUAAACUCGCAUAGACAUAAGCCACCAUCAUCUAGACUCAUCCAACAGCUUCCCGACCAUUUUUCCUGGCUUCACGCUUGCAUCCCUCCAAUUUACUGUUCAUGCUGUAGCCAACAUUAUCUCUUAAAAAUAUACAUUGAAUCCGUUUACCACUCUCCUUAAAAUGUUAUUAGAUUAAUGGCUGUGGAUUCGCUAUAACCCGCCUGGCCCCUUGCUUCUGCUUCAUUUCUCUCCCAUCAGACCUCAGAGUCCAAAAGGGCCGGCACUGUUUACUAUAUACCCUGGCAUCCUGCAGGACACAUAGUAGGGGUUCAGUUCAUGUUUGUUUUGUGGAUAAAUGAAUGGUCAUUUAAACUAUUUCUUUUUUUUUUUAAAAUUUUAUUGGGGAA